AAUAACAAUUAAGUCUUUCAGAUGUUGAGGUGCUGCUGGAGAAAAAGACUAUCAAAAUGAAUUAAAAAAGCAUCUUCACACUCAAAUCUGUACACAUCUUUUUAAAAAGCAAGUUUUAGUCACAGACCGUUUUCAAGCAAGAAUAACAAAAAAGUUGUAAACUUUUCAUUUAAUUUCCCUUUGAAAACUAAUGAACAUUGCAUGAAAAUUAACACAGCUCUCCUGAAUCUUUUUAUGAAUCGCUGCCUGCUGUUUGUGACCGUGUGCAGUUCACAAAGCACGGAAAACCGUGGUGAGAAUGAGUAUCAAGUCCAGCGCAAACAUGGAGGAUCCAGCCUGCAGUGCUGAACUGCAGCGGCAGUGAUGGAAACAGGACUGCGGGAGGAAAAUGAUCACCCGUCUCCUUCAGUUGCAGGCAGCACUUGCUAAAAAGGGAGUGACAGACUUCAAACUGACCUGGAAGAAACUGCCAGUGAAGCGCACAUGACAGAGCAAUGACAGGAUUAAAAGAUUCUAGUUGAUGCUGUGAGAGUAACUCCCAGAAAAAUGCACCACAACAUGGAGUUUACACAGCAUACCAAAUAUAAGGAUUACUAUCUGUAUUUCAUUAAGUUACUAUGGAAUAUGUUGUUGUGUUUCCCCUUUUGUAAUUAUGACUGAACUCAGAAAAGCUCAGUCUCACUUGUACAUGUUUCAGUUUUAAAUUAAUUUACAUUAAACUGUUGUGUUUUUCACUUCAUGUGUGACUUAGAGAUUAUUAUGAUUUAUAUAGUGACUUAUAAAUACUGUAUAAGCUCAGAAAUAUUCUUCAUAUCCAUUUAUUUUCUCACAUAAUACUUAAUGAUUUUUUUGGUAACUUGCACCAAAGGUUGGUGGUUCAAUCCUUGGUCUGAUAUAAAAUGCCGAAGGGUCUUUGGAAAAGUUACUCAACCCCAACUUGCUAGUUGGUGGCAUUUCGAUUGUUUAGCCUCUGCCACCAGUAUAUUUAACCACCUUCAUAAAUCAAUAUAAGUGCCCAUCACCACUUCAGCUUGCCUGCUGUCAGCCCUUUCUGAUGAAGCAAUGUCUAGGCUCCAUUGAAUAAAACAGUAAUUCAGUGCAUUUGCAUCCAUGGGCGAACAAAAAAAAAAAGAAUUGCUAAUGUUUUAUGUUUAAUACAACAAAAUGACAAGUUUAGCAAACACCCAGAGGGUCCUAUGAGUAAUACUUAAAGGUAUAUUUAUGUAUUGUAUUUAUCCCUGUUUUAAUUGUGUACUU